UAGGGAAUCUUCCACAAUGGACGCAAGUCUGAUGGAGCAACGCCGCGUGAGUGAAGAAGGUCUUCGGAUCGUAAAGCUCUGUUGUUGGUGAAGAAGGAUAGAGGCAGUAACUGGUCUUUAUUUGACGGUAAUCAACCAGAAAGUCACGGCUAACUACGUGCCAGCAGCCGCGGUAAUACGUAGGUGGCAAGCGUUGUCCGGAUUUAUUGGGCGUAAAGCGAGCGCAGGCGGAAUGAUAAGUCUGAUGUGAAAGCCCACGGCUCAACCGUGGAACUGCAUCGGAAACUGUCAUUCUUGAGUGCAGAAGAGGAGAGUGGAACUCCAUGUGUAGCGGUGGAAUGCGUAGAUAUAUGGAAGAACACCAGUGGCGAAGGCGGCUCUCUGGUCUGCAACUGACGCUGAGGCUCGAAAGCAUGGGUAGCGAACAGGAUUAGAUACCCUGGUAGUCCAUGCCGUAAAACGAUGAGCGCUAGGUGUUGGGGACUUUCCGGUCCUCAGUGCCGCAGCAAACGCAUUAAGCGCU
rnacentral:rRNA from 1 species